GCGUCCUUAGCUCAGCUGGAUAGAGCAAUGCCCUUCUAAGGCAUCGGUCACACGUUCGAAUCGUGUAGGGCGUACCA
rnacentral:tRNA from 8 species